CCGAGUCCAACCCCGAUGGUCCUAAUGAUUUUAUUGCUCGGUGGCAAAAUAAAUCAAAGCAACAGUAAUCCCAAAGUCACAUUUGAACAUGUCAGUGACUGCUAGGAAGCAGAGGGUAUGAAAUGAAAAUGGAGAUUCUUCCCUACUUCCUAUUCCCAGCCUCACCUGCUUUGGGAAAAAAACACCCCAACUGAAAGGGCUGUACGAUCCCAAAACAUAAGGGCUCCUUCCUUGUCCCCACUCCCGCUUCUCCUUGCCACUGCCGCUGGAUUCCGUGCCUUGGACCUUGCCCUGCCACUUUGGAGCCACUGAAA
rnacentral:lncRNA from 1 species